AAUUCAAAGACACUGUAAUAUCCUUGCUGACGCCUUGAACUACUUGUGGUUGUUUAUGAUCAAUUGGAAGUGCAUGAUUUUGAUCAUUAUUAUCUUGUGAAGUUUGAUCAUUGGAUUUACCCCAUAUAACCAGAAAGAAAAGAAGAUGAGAUGCUGUGAUGUAUACCUUCCCAUAUAUAAUUUCUCAGAAAGCACAAAGGACCCAAUGAUGGCGACGAGAACCAUGGAUAGGGGAUUAAAGGCAGUAACAAAAACAGGUCCUUUUACCUUCAUUAUUAUCCCAUAUAUGUAAUACACAGCCCCUGACCUCACUAAUCCCUGCAUCAUCAGUUCAUAUACAUUGUUAUCCAAAAACUGUAUUUAGUUUUUUAAUUUGAUAGUAUGCCACAUAUUGAGUUUAUGAAAGUGUAGUAAAAAUAGAUGAAAAAGAAUUCAGAUUU